UACGUAGGGUCCGAGCGUUGUCCGGAAUUAUUGGGCGUAAAGGGCUCGUAGGCGGUUUGUCGCGUCGGGAGUGAAAACUCAGGGCUCAACCCUGAGCGUGCUUCCGAUACGGGCAGACUAGAGGUAUGCAGGGGAGAACGGAAUUCCUGGUGUAGCGGUGGAAUGCGAAGAUAUCAGGAGGAACACCGGUGGCGAAGGCGGUUCUCUGGGCAUUACCUGACGCUGAGGAGCGAAAGCAUGGGGAGCGAACAGG
rnacentral:rRNA from 1 species